ensembl:lncRNA
CAGGCCACAAGAGCCUAAUCUGGGCAUCAUUGCCUCCAUGGCACUCCUAGGUCCUGAACCAGUUGUUGCCCAUGGAGAACAAGAUGCUGGAGACUUUGCGUUCCAUUGACAAGCAGGAGAAGCACAUGCAGGAGCAGAGUGACAUACUGAAAAACCUGCAUGGCCACAACAGUUACCUGGAUCCUAUAAUGGUCAUCGCGGAUGCACAGCAGCAGGUCCAGCUGGCCGGCCUCCACAAUUUAAAGGAGCUACUGCAGCAGCUGCUGGACCACCACAACAGCACUCUAACCAGCAUCCAGGACAGCUUGCAAGCUGCCAGCAGCAACUCCAGCCUCCGGCAUCAAAAUCAACACCAUCUUCUGGAGAUCCUGCAGGAGCUCAUUCACCUGGUGGACCAGGGCCCAG